UUUUUUUUUUUUUUUUUUUNNNNNNNNNNNNNNNNNNNNNNNNNNNNNNNNNNNNNNNNNNNNNNNNNNNNNNNNNNNNNNNNNNNNNNNNNNNNNNNNNNNNNNNNNNNNNNNNNNNNNNNUUUUUUUUUUUUUUUUUUUUUUUUUUUUUCUGGCUGCAUCUGCGGCAUGCAGGAGUUCCUGGGCCAGGGAGCAAACCCAUGCCACAGCAGUGACAAUGCCAGAUCCUCAAUCUGCUGAGCCGCUAGGGAACUCGGGCUGGCACCUACUCUUGACUCUCUUACUAAAGAGUUAAACCCAGCUUCAGCAACCCCUCCCUUGCACCCUAGGGCCUGAAUGUAGCUGGAGAGACACACAACCACCCUGACAGGUCUCACAGUCAUUUCUGGAGCUCAGACUUUGACUGGUCUCAUCUUGCUGCACCUGCCCUCUCACUUUGUCCCUAGACCAUUCGCGACCUUUCCGGCUCCCAGCCCGCUUCUGGAGUUUUCCACAUCUCCCUGCUCCAGCCUCCAACUCCUCCCCCUUGUCACCCAGCUGAGGCCCCUGCUUCUCACAUCCCUGAGAAAGCUUCUGAAGAGCGCUUCUGAAGAACUUCGAGAGAUUCCCACCGCCUCCUGCCACCUCCGGGCCACUCUCUCCCCCAUCCCACUGCUGAAUCCUCUGCUUGAUCUAAAGCUGGCCGUGCCCUCGCGCAGGACUCUCGACCCCCUCGCGGGCGGCUCUCUCCCACACCAUCCCAUCAUGAGCCUUGUUCUCUCUCCCCGAGGGCUCCCAGCAGCAGGCUAAAGUCACCUUCCCUAGCUGAAAAACACUCAUAUCACCUGCUUCUCCCAUUGCUUGCCUCCCAGUCGCAGCAACAUUUCUCGAAAGAGUGGUCUACAGUUUGCUGAGUCAGCUCUCCCUGAAUUCCGAUCCCUCCAGGUGCUCAUCCCCCUGCUCCCCCAAAACACUCCCAUCAGGCCCACUGAUUACUCCCCAGAGCCGUCCAUUCUCAGGCAUCGUCUUACUCCACCGUCUUACUCCACCGGCCACAGCAUCCCCCGCGAUGGGCUACUCUCUCCUCUUUUAAAGACCCUUCCCUUGGCUCCCAGGACACUUCCCUCUCCGGGUUUUCCUCUUGCAGCCCUGGGGGCCCCUUGUCAGUCUCCUUGGCUGGCCUUCCCUCUUGAAGUGGGGUGUCUCGGGGCCAGUCCUGGAUCCUCGUCACUGCUCUACACUCAUUCCUUGCAGAUGGCGUCCAUCACCCACUCGCAGAGUUUUAAAUACCAUCUAUGUGCUGACAGCGCCCAGAGUUUUCCUCCAGCCCCGUCUUCUCUCCCAGUCCUCAGACUCGGACCCAGCUGUCUAUCCAUAGCCUGUCAGUUCCACCUGGGUCUUUGAUAGACACGCUCACCUGCCCUAAGCUUGGCUCCCACCCACAGUCCUCACCCUUCUUCCAUUUGCUCAGGCCCACGACCUUGACACCAUCCUGGAACCCUGUCUUUUUCUCCCAUCCCACAUCAGAAAGCAAGUCCUCUUGGCUUUGGAUCCAGAAUUCCAUCCCUUCUCACCUCUCCACGGCUACCGGCCUGGCCAGGCCAGGAAAAAUGGAUAGCCUGCUUCCACUCUGGCCCCAAACCGUCUAAGUCUCAACAUGCAACCAGAGUGGUCCUUUAAGAAAGUGAGUCAGAUGGCGUCACUUCUGCUCGGAAACCCUCCCAAGAGCCCCCACCCCGUCCCAUUCCAGUCCCACUGCCCACCCCGCCCCCGGCUCCCUCUGGGUCCUACCUCCUGUAUCCCCCUCACUCUUCUCUCUGCCUCAGCCUCUGGCCUCCUCGUGGUUCUUCAGCAACUCCAGGCAUGCGCCACCCUUGGGGCCUGGGGCCUGUGGUUCCCUCCGCUGGGAAGGCUCUUCUUCCAGCUAACCCUGUUGCCUCCCUAAAGUCCUUGCCCAACUGUCCCCCUCAACGGGGCACUAUCUGUCCACCCUAUUAGAAGCCACUGCCUCCCCUCCCCGCUACGCUCCUGGUCUCUUUCCUUCUGCUGGAUUUUCUCCCACAGCCCGCACGCCCUCCUCCCUCCUACACCGGCUCCUUAGGAUGUUAGUUUCACUUCUGUGUCCCCCGUUAGAAUGUAAGCUCCUAAAGGCAGGGGCCUUUGUGUCUUGUUCAGGGAUAAACCCCGCGUAUCCGGCACAUGGUAGAGACCCCGAUACCGCGAAGGUGCAGGUAAACAGCACCCCUCCCAGUCUACUCCAGAUGUGCAGCGCGCUGCCGAACGCUGCCUGGUGUGACCAUCUGUGCUCGCGUUUCGUAGGAUUCACAACAACGCCGUCAUCUCAGGUGUGGGACCUGGCUGUUGCACAAGCCCUUUUGCACACCUGAUCCUGUCUAGCUCUGAC
ensembl:lncRNA